rnacentral:lncRNA from 1 species
CAAGGAUCUGACAACACUCCGUUUUACUUUCUGUCCUGGUAGUUUUUACAUCAGCUAAUAAAAAUUUAAGCUUUCAAAUUUUAAAAGUGUGUAUUAAUCCGACAAAUUAAGAGAACCUCAAAAGAUCUUUAAACAGAAAGUAAAAUUGAGCGUUUUCAGAUCCUUAUAAGCAACGUAUCGACACAUUUUAUAUGAUCUUUAGGGACGGACCAUUUAACUUGCAGAGGGGGAGGCAUGCGCGCAUUUUAUUUUUAUUUUUGGGAAGUGGCGCGACAAAUUAUUUUUUUCAAAUUUAACAUUAUUUUUUAUGGUAAAUAUCCUCUGUCAAAAUUUUUUUUUCUCCCUUUGCUGGCCAAAUUAUUUAUUUUCUCUAUUCAGAAUCAACAUAUUUAUUUACGAAAAAAAACAUUAAAUCAAUUUUCAAUAAGGCUCUCUAUAGACACAAUAUUAACAACAUGAAUAAACAUAAUCUACUACUACGGGUUUUUUUUAACGACCUUGACAAAAGCCCUUGCACGGUUGAUAUAAACCAAAUCAAUCUAGCAAUACACAAUGAUGAAUAAUAGUAUAAAUAUUAAAUUACAUAAACAAAUACAUGAACAAAACGGAUUACAUGAUAG